CUGCGUCCUCAGAGUUCAAGCCCAGCAGGCUGCAGCGGUCCUGACAUAUUCCGGAACAGCAGCACAGUCUUUGGAUGACUCCUCUGAAGAUGAAAACAUGGCGAGUUCUUCUCAAGAGAAGCAGUACAGGUGUGCCUCAGCUCCACGGUCCCUCCUGCAGCCUCCGCUCCUGAUGCUAACCUCAUGUCUCCAUCACACCAAGCAGCAGACCUGGAUUGACAGACCUUUCUCCAGAGCUGCCCCCUCCCUCUGAAACCCCCCUCUCCAAAACACUAUUUGUGGCGUUUUUAAAGUCUUAUUUGCAUGAGAAUUGUUGAUCAUAACAUUUCCAGCAGAUGCCUUAAUGUAAUGUUUGUGCACAAUAAAUGACAUUGAUCAUAA